CACGCCGACUGAGAAGCAAGAGCAGGCUUCUCCUUAGCCAGCCCACAUCUCCGCCCAUGCUGCUCACAGGAUCAGAGCACAGGAGCUUCAUGCCCAAUGGUUCUGCCUUUAAACUUGGGACACAGUUGGCUGCUAAAAGUCAUCCUUCCUGGGCCAUGGAGGCCAGAAAAUGAAGGAAAGGAACCAGCAGGAGGAAGCCUGGGAGAAGGGUUCAAACUCAUUUGCAAAGUUGUGUGAGUUUUCCCAGCAGGGUUUGCUUCAAGCUGAUUUGCGAGAUGCACCAGGAAUUGCCAGAUCCAGGCUCCCAGUGUGUUGGAACUUUGAGAAAAUGCCAGACAAUAUUGCUCUGAGGGCCAGAAAGAGAGAGCAGGGAGCCAUUCACACACUGAUUAAAUGAAUCCAGUUCCUGGUGG